ACUGCUCAGUAACACGUGGCUAACCUGCCCUUGGGACAAGGACAACUCCGGGAAACUGGGGCUAAUCCCUGAUAGGUGAGAACUCCUGGAAUGGAUUCUCGCUGAAAGGACGUUUAGACCAUGCUUCUAGGCGUCGCCCAAGGAGGGGGCCGCGACCGAUCAGGUUGUUGGUGAGGUAACGGCUCACCAAGCCUUUAACCGGUACGGGCCGUGAGAGCGGAAGCCCGGAGAUGGGCACUGAGACAAGGGCCCAGGCCCUACGGGGCGCAGCAGUCGCGAAAACUCCGCAAUACACGAAAGUGUGACGGGGCCAUCCCGAGUGCCAUCCGCUGAGGAUGGCUUUUCCCCAGUGUAUAAAGCUGGGGGAAUAAGGAGAGGGCAAGCCUGGUGUCAGCCGCCGCGGUAAUACCAGCUCUCCGAGUGGUGGGGAUGUUUAUUGGGCCUAAAGCAUUCGUAGCCUGCUUGGCAAGUCCUCCGUUAAAUCCAACGAUUCAAUCGUUGGGCUGCGGGGGAUACUGCCCGGCUAGGGGGCGGGAGAGGCCGACGGUAUCCCCGGGGUAGGGGUGAAAUCCUAUAAUCCCGGGAGGACCACCAGUGGCGAAGGCUGUCGGCUAGAACGCGCUCGACGGUGAGGGAUGAAAGCUGGGGGAGCGAACCGGAUUAGAUACCCGGGUAGUCCCAGCUGUAAACGAUGCAGGCUAGGUGUUGGUGCGGCUACGUGCCGCUCCAGUGCCGCAGGGAAGCCGUUAAGCCUGCCGCCUGGGAAGUACGGCCGCAAGGCUGAAACUUAAAGGAAUUGGCGGGGGAGCACCACAAGGUGUGAAGCUUGCGGUUUAAUUGGAGUCAACGCCGGA
rnacentral:rRNA from 1 species